rnacentral:rRNA from 1 species
CACGUAGGGUGCGAGCGUUGUCCGGAAUUAUUGGGCGUAAAGAGCUCAUAGGCGGUGUGUCGCGUCGGCCGUGAAAACCUGCAGCUUAACUGUGGGCUUGCGGUCGAUACGGGCAUCACUGGAGUUCGGCAGGGGAGACUGGAAUUCCUGGUGUAGCGGUGAAAUGCGCAGAUAUCAGGAGGAACACCGGUGGCGAAGGCGGGUCUCUGGGCCGAUACUGACGCUGAGGAGCGAAAGCAUGGGGAGCGAACAGG